rnacentral:misc_RNA from 1 species
GAGUUAGGGUCUCCUAGGCCCGAUCUCCCAACCCUUUGUUUACCCAACUUAAGUUGCUUCGGCGGACCCGUCUUCAUUGACCGCCGGAGGAUCGCCGACAGGCGUCUUCUGGCCCGCGUUCGCCGAUAGCCCCAUCAAAACCCUGACAAAUCGUGUCAUAUGUCUAAGUCAUUGAUUAAAUUAAAGCAAAACUUUCAACAACGGAUCUCUUGGUUCU